rnacentral:rRNA from 1 species
GGCUUUGUCCUGUGACUGCGUACCUUUUGUAUAAUGGGUCAGCGACUUAUAUUCAGUGGCAAGGUUAACCAUCUAGGGGAGCCGUAGGGAAACCGAGUCUUAACUGGGCGUUCAGUCUCUGGAUAUAGACCCGAAACCAGGUGAUCUAGCCAUGGGCAGGUUGAAGGUUGAGUAACAUCAACUGGAGGACCGAACCGACUAAUGUUGAAAAAUUAGCGGAUGACUUGUGGCUAGGGGUGAAAGGCCAAUCAAACCUGGAGAUAGCUGGUUCUCCCCGAAAGCUAUUUAGGUAGCGCCUCGGACGAAUACUACUGGGGGUAGAGCACUGUUAAGGCUAGGGGGUCAUCCCGACUUACCAACCCUUUGCAAACUCCGAAUACCAGUAAGUACUAUCCGGGAGACACACGGCGGGUGCUAACGUCCGUCGUGGAGAGGGAAACAACCCAGACCGCCAGCUAAGGUCCCAAAUUACUACUAAGUGGGAAACGAUGUGGGAAGGCUCAGACAGCCAGGAUGUUGGCUUAGAAGCAGCCAUCAUUUAAAGAAAGCGUAAUAGCUCACUGGUCGAGUCGGCCUGCGCGGAAGAUGUAACGGGGCUAAGUAGUAAACCGAAGCUGCGGCAAUAUACUUUUGUAUAUUGGGUAGGGGAGCGUUCUGUAAGCGGUUGAAGGUGUGUGGUAACGCAUGCUGGACGUAUCAGAAGUGCGAAUGCUGACAUGAGUAACGAUAAAGGGGGUGAAAAACCUCCUCGCCGGAAGACCAAGGGUUCCUGUCCAACGUUAAUCGGGGCAGGGUAAGUCGACCCCUAAGGCGAGGCCGAAAGGCGUAGUCGAUGGGAAACGGGUUAAUAUUCCCGUACUUCUUACAAUUGCGAUGGGGGGACGGAGAAGGCUAGGUGGGCCUGGCGACGGUUGUCCAGGUUCAAGUGCGUAGGCUUAAGAGUUAGGUAAAUCCGGCUCUUUUUAAGGCUGAGACACGACGUCGAGCACCUACGGGUGUGAAGUCAUUGAUGCCAUGCUUCCAGGAAAAGCCUCUAAGCUUCAGAUUGUAAGGAAUCGUACCCCAAACCGACACAGGUGGUCGGGUAGAGAAUACCAAGGCGCUUGAGAGAACUCGGGUGAAGGAACUAGGCAAAAUGGUACCGUAACUUCGGGAGAAGGUACGCUCUCGACGGUGAAGUCCCUUGCGGAUGGAGCUAUUGAGAGUCGCAGAUACCAGGUGGCUGCAACUGUUUAUUAAAAACACAGCACUGUGCAAAAUCGUAAGAUGACGUAUACGGUGUGACGCCUGCCCGGUGCCGGAAGGUUAAUUGAUGGGGUUAGACUUCGGUCGAAGCUCUUGAUCGAAGCCCCGGUAAACGGCGGCCGUAACUAUAACGGUCCUAAGGUAGCGAAAUUCCUUGUCGGGUAAGUUCCGACCUGCACGAAUGGCGUAAUGAUGGCCACGCUGUCUCCACCCGAGACUCAGUGAAAUUGAAAUCGCUGUGAAGAUGCAGUGUACCCGCGGCUAGACGGAAAGACCCCGUGAACCUUUACUACAGCUUGGCACUGAACAUUGACCCUACAUGUGUAGGAUAGGUGGGAGGCUUUGAAGCACGUACGCCAGUAUGUGUGGAGCCGUCCUUGAAAUACCACCCUUGUAGUGUUGAUGUUCUAACGUCGACCCCUUAUCGGGGUUGCGGACAGUGCCUGGUGGGUAGUUUGACUGGGGCGGUCUCCUCCCAAAGAGUAACGGAGGAGCACGAAGGUGGGCUAAUCACGGUUGGACAUCGUGAGGUUAGUGCAAUGGCAUAAGCCCGCUUGACUGCGAGAAUGACAAUUCGAGCAGGUGCGAAAGCAGGUCAUAGUGAUCCGGUGGUUCUGAAUGGAAGGGCCAUCGCUCAACGGAUAAAAGGUACUCCGGGGAUAACAGGCUGAUACCGCCCAAGAGUUCAUAUCGACGGCGGUGUUUGGCACCUCGAUGUCGGCUCAUCACAUCCUGGGGCUGAAGUCGGUCCCAAGGGUAUGGCUGUUCGCCAUUUAAAGUGGUACGCGAGCUGGGUUUAGAACGUCGUGAGACAGUUCGGUCCCUAUCUGCCGUGGGCGUUGGAAGAUUGAAGGGGGCUGCUCCUAGUACGAGAGGACCGGAGUGGACGAACCUCUGGUGUUCGGGUUGUGUCGCCAGACGCAUUGCCCGGUAGCUAAGUUCGGAAUCGAUAACCGCUGAAAGCAUCUAAGCGGGAAGCGAGCCCU